GAUAUGUAUCUCAUUUGAAUGGUGCCUGUUAUCUGCUCAACUCAGGUGAAUUGGUUAUUUUACUUGUCUGUUAGUCAUUUUUCGAUCUGAACAACUGAACACACAAUGUUCUUAUGUGUUAGAUUGACCUGUGCAUAAUUUACUAACUAAUUUGUUUUGGUGAAAUAGUUAUUAGUAGAUCGACAAGCUGCAUCCAGAACUAUCCCGGCAUCAGCCAUUAGGAACUACCAGUCUUCGCACACUAUCUCCAAUUUUAAAGAUCCUACAAUAUUGGUUUAGGAUUCAAGACUCCCCGAGAAGCUACUGAAGGAAAAUCAUAGUGGGAGAUGAAACUUGGACAUUGUGGUUUGCAUUGUUAGUUUUCUUAUGGGAUCCUUUCCAGCCAACAACGGAAAUCAGAAUUACUACUUCAACUUCGAAUCCAGCAGAAUAAGAGUGGGAGAUG